AGCUCCAAUAGCGUAUAUUAAAGUUGUUGCGGUUAAAAAGCUCGUAGUUGGAUUUCUGUCGAGGUCAGCCGGUGUGAACUUCGUUCAUUAUUUGGUUUGGUCUUGGCAUCCUCCUGGGGAGCGGUCCGUUCUUAAUUGGACGGCCGAGAUUCAGGACUUUUACUUUGAGGAAAUUAGAGUGUUCACGGCAGGCAAGUGCUUUGAAUACAUUAGCAUGGAAUAAUAAUAUAGGACCUUUGUUCUAUUUUGUUGGUUUCUAGAGCUUAGGUAAUGAUUAAUAGGGACAAUUGGGGCAUUCGUAUUAACGCGUCAGAGGUGGAAUUCUUGGAUUGCGUUACGACGAACUACUGCGAAAGCAUUUGCCAAAGAUGU
rnacentral:rRNA from 1 species